rnacentral:rRNA from 1 species
UACGAAGGGUGCAAACGUUGCUCGGAAUUAUUGGGCGUAAAGCGCACGUAGGCGGCUUGGCAAGUCGGAUGUGAAAUCCCUCGGCUCAACCAAGGAAGUGCAUCCGAAACUGCUGAGCUUGAGUACGAAAGAGGAUCGCGGAAUUCCCGGUGUAGAGGUGAAAUUCGUAGAUAUCGGGAGGAACACCAGUGGCGAAGGCGGCGAUCUGGGUCGACACUGACGCUGAGGUGCGAAAGCGUGGGGAGCAAACAGG